AUCGUGACCUGGCAGGGGGGAUGCCACGAUCACAAAGGUGGUUGUCCCAGAGUGAGGUUUAUCCAUUGCACCUCAGAUGUGCUGACCCCGUCACCUCCCCAAAUGUGGAAUCUUUGUUUUUCUGUUUUUUCGUUUUUUGAGACAGAGUGAUGGAGUCUUGCUCUGUCACCCA